UAGGGAAUCUUCGGCAAUGGACGAAAGUCUGACCGAGCAACGCCGCGUGAGUGAAGAAGGUUUUCGGAUCGUAAAACUCUGUUGGUAGAGAAGAACGUUGGUGAGAGUGGAAAGCUCAUCAAGUGACGGUAACUACCCAGAAAGGGACGGCUAACUACGUGCCAGCAGCCGCGGUAAUACGUAGGUCCCGAGCGUUGUCCGGAUUUAUUGGGCGUAAAGCGAGCGCAGGUGGUUUAUUAAGUCUGGUGUAAAAGGCAGUGGCUCAACCAUUGUAUGCAUUGGAAACUGGUAGACUUGAGUGCAGGAGAGGAGAGUGGAAUUCCAUGUGUAGCGGUGAAAUGCGUAGAUAUAUGGAGGAACACCGGUGGCGAAAAGCGGCUCUCUGGCCUGUAACUGACACUGAGGCUCGAAAGCGUGGGGAGCAAACAGGAUUAGAUACCCUGGUAGUCCACGCCGU
rnacentral:rRNA from 1 species